UACGGGGGGGGCAAGCGUUGUUCGGAAUUACUGGGCGUAAAGGGCGCGUAGGCGGCCUGUUAAGUCGAACGUGAAAUCCCCGGGCUCAACCCGGGAACUGCGUCCGAUACUGGCAGGCUUGAAUCCGGGAGAGGGAUGCGGAAUUCCAGGUGUAGCGGUGAAAUGCGUAGAUAUCUGGAGGAACACCGGUGGCGAAGGCGGCAUCCUGGACCAACACUGACGCUGAGGAGCGAAAGCCAGGGGAGCAAACGGG
rnacentral:rRNA from 1 species